GACAGAGGGUGCGAACGUUGUUCGGAAUUACUGGGCGUAAAGCGCGUGUAGGCGGCAGCGUAAGUCGGGCGUGAAAUCCCACGGCUCAACCGUGGAAGUGCACUCGAAACUGAGCAGCUAGAGUCCUGGAGAGGAAGGUGGAAUGCUUGGUGUAGAGGUGAAAUUCGUAGAUAUCAAGCGGAACACCGGUGGCGAAGGCGGCCUUCUGGACAGUGACUGACGCUGAGACGCGAAAGCGUGGGGAGCAAACAGG
rnacentral:rRNA from 1 species